rnacentral:rRNA from 1 species
GAUGAACGCUGGCGGCGUGCCUAAUACAUGCGAGUCGAGCGAACAGAUGAGGAGCUUGCUCGUCUGACGUUAGCGGCGGACGGGUGAGUAACACGUGGAUAACCUACCUAUAAGACUGGGAUAACUUCGGGAAACCGGAGCUAAUACCGGAUAAUAUAUUGAACCGCAUGGUUCAAUAGUGAAAGACGGUUUUGCUGUCACUUAUAGAUGGAUCCGCGCCGCAUUAGCUAGUUGGUAAGGUAACGGCUUACCAAGGCGACGAUGCGUAGCCGACCUGAGAGGGUGAUCGGCCACACUGGAACUGAGACACGGUCCAGACUCCUACGGGAGGCAGCAGUAGGGAAUCUUCCACAAUGGGCGAAAGCCUGACGGAGCAACGCCGCGUGAGUGAUGAAGGUCUUCGGAUCGUAAAACUCUGUUAUUAGGGAAGAACAAAUGUGUAAGUAACUAUGCACGUCUUGACGGUACCUAAUCAGAAAGCCACGGCUAACUACGUG